rnacentral:tRNA from 1 species
AGCGAGAGGGAGCGGAUGGAAGCUCGCCGCGCAUAACUGCCGUGCGCGGAGGUCGUGGGUUCGAGUCCCACUCUCGCUACCA